UGAGGAAUAUUGGUCAAUGGGGGCAACCCUGAACCAGCCAAGUCGCGUGAAGGAUGAAGGUCUUAUGGAUUGUAAACUUCUUUUAUACAGGAAUAAAUUGGGGGACGUGUCCCCUUUUGCAUGUACUGUAUGAAUAAGGAUCGGCUAACUCCGUGCCAGCAGCCGCGGUAAUACGGAGGAUCCGAGCGUUAUCCGGAUUUAUUGGGCUUAAAGGGUGCGCAGGCGGGAUGUUAAGUCGGCGGUGAAAUUUUGCAGCUCAACUGUAAAAGUGCCUUCGAUACUGGCCUUCGUGAGUGUGGAUGAAGUAGGCGGAAUUUGUGGUGUAGCGGUGAAAUGCUUAGAUAUCACGAGGAACUCCGAUUGCGCAGGCAGCUUACUAAGCCACAACUGACGCUCAUGCACGAAGGCGUGGGGAUCAAACA
rnacentral:rRNA from 1 species